UCAAAAAAUAGUUUAAGUAAAACGUUAAUUUUGGGGAUUAAUAAUAUUUUUGUUAGAAAUUUUUUUGAU
rnacentral:tRNA from 1 species